rnacentral:rRNA from 1 species
AGGAACCUGCCUCAUGGUGGAGGAUAGCUCGGAGAAAUCCGGGGUAAUACUCCAUGGUCUCUAAAUUUCUUUUAUGUUGUUUAGAGUAAAGAUUUAUUGCCAUGAGAGGGGCCUGCGGCCUAUCAGCUUGUUGGUGGGGUAAUUGCCUACCAAGGCUACGACGGGUAGCUGAUCUUAGAGGAUGAUCAUUCACGAGGGAACUGAGACACGGUCCCUACUCCUACGGGAGGCAGCAGUUGGGAAUAUUGCGCAAUGGGGGAAACCCUGACGCAGCGACACCGCGUGGAGGAAGAAACCUUUCGGGGCGUAAACUCCUUUUGUCUGGGAGGAUUAUGACAGUACCAGACGAAUAAGUACCGGCUAACUACGUGCCAGAAGCCUCGGUGAUACGUAGGGUACUAGCGUUAUCCGGAAUUAUUGGGCGUAAAGGGUGUCUAGGUGGUUGUAAAAGUCUUUUGUUAAAUUUUUGGGCUCAACCCAAAAAUUGCGGAGGAAACUUUAUAACUUGAGUUCAGUAGAGGUGUGCGGAAUUUUCGGUGUAGGAGUGAAAUCCGUUGAUAUCGAGAAGAACACCAAUGGCGAAGGCAGCACACUAGACUGAUACUGACACUAAAGCACGAAAGCUAAGGUAGCGAAACGGAUUAGAUACCCGUGUAGUCUUAGCUGUAAACGAUGCAGACUAGUUGUUGGGAGUAUCGACCCUCCUUGCAGCAAAGCUAACGCGUUAAGUCUGCCGCCUGGGAAGUACGGUCGCAAGACUAAAACUCAAAGGAAUUGACGGGGGCUUGCACAAGCGGUGGAGCAUGUGGUUUAAUUCGACGAUAAGCGAAGAACCUUACCAGGACUUGACAUCCCAAUCGUACCCUAUAGAAAUAUAGGGGUCAGUUCGGCUGGAUUGGUGACAGGUGCUGCACGGUUGUCGUCAGCUCGUGUCGUGAGAUGUUCCGUUAAGUUGGCUAACGAGCGAAACCCUUAUCGCCAGUUGUAUUUCUCUGGCGAGACUGCCUCGGUUAACGGGGAGGAAGGUGAGGAUGACGUCAAAUCAGCGUGGCUCUUACGUUCUGGGCGACACACGUGCUACAAUGGCAGCUACAAGGGUCGCAAUACCGCAAGGUGGAGCUAAUCCCUAAAAGUUGUCGCAGUUCGGAUUGGAGGCUGCAACUCGCCUCCAUGAAGCUGGAAUCGCUAGUAAUCGUGGGUCAGCCAUACCACGGUGAAUACGUUCUCAAGCCUUGUACACACCGCCCGUCAAGCGAGCCGAGUCGGUAAUGCCCGAAGCUCCGCCU